GGAGGGGUGGCCGAGCGGUCAAUGGCAGCUGACUGUAAAUCAGCCGGUUUACACCUACGAAGGUUCGAAUCCUUCCCCCUCCACCA
rnacentral:tRNA from 2 species